UGUGUCUCCCUCUCUUCUCUCUCUGCCCCUCCCCUGCUUGUGCUCUGUCUCUCUCUGUCAAAAAUAAACUAAAAAAUAUAUAUAUAUGAUAGAAUAUAUAGAGUAUGUAAUAUAUAUUCAAUAAUAAUAUAGAAUAUUAAAAUGUAUUAUUAUGUUUACUUUCAGUGGAAAGUCAUUUAUGCCAGCAUAAAUGACUACCUACUGAAUUGGAUCUUCUUCUAGAUUUGCCAUUUUGUUUCUAUAGCAACACCAAAAUAUUUUCAUUUUAAUAUUUGGUAAAACAAAUCUCCUCUCACUAUGUUUCUUUAUAAAAAAUGUUCUCAGCUAGUCUUAUAUUAGUAUUUAUUCUUCCAUAUGAACUUAAAAAAUAUUUUAACGAUAUCUUCCUCACAAAUCUCUUAGUCUUGAUGAAAUUAUAUUUAAUUUAUAUAUUAAUUUGGUAUGCAUUGGCAUUUUUAUAAUCAUUCCUAUCCAGAAAUAGGACGUGUCUUUCCAUAUUUGUUUCUGUUCUUUUUUUAAUGUUUUUCAACAAAAUCUUUUAAUUAUUUUUUUCCAUUAGGUUCUGUACUUGUUUAUGUUUAUUUCUUUAAAAAAAAUUUUUUUUAAGUUUAUUUUGACAGAGCAGGAGUGGGGUAGGGGCAGAGAGAGGGAGAGAGAAUUUCAAGCAGGCUCUGUCUGCACUGUCAGCACAGAGCCCAACGUGAGGCUCAAGCUCACGAACCAUGAGAUCAUGACCUGAGCCAAGGUCAAGAGUUAGACUCUUAACCGGUGUCUCCUACCCCAGCACCCCUAUUUAAAUUUAUUUCUGAUUAUUGUAUUAUUACUAUUUUGAAGGGACUUUAAGCGCCCCACUUUUACUUCUUUUUGAUUUUGAGAGAGAGCACACACAAGCUGGAGGAGGGGCAGAGAGACAGGAGAGAGGGAAUCCCGAAACGGCUCUUCACUAUCAGCAGAGCCCAGUGCACAGGGCUCAGUCUCAUGAACUGUGAGAUCAUAACUUGAGCUGAAAUCAAGAGUCAGAUGCUUAACCACCAACCUAUCCACCCAGGCACCCCUAAAUCACUUUUACUCUAAAUGAUUAUGGCUAGUGUAAAAAAAAGCUAUUGAUUUCUAUACAGUUAUCUAAUUGGUUUACCAAAUCUUCUUAUCCAGCUCUUGUAAUUAUUAGUAUCUUUUAGGUUUUCUGAUAACAAAGUAGAUAAGAUAUAUAAUCAUAUGAUCUGAAAGUAAAAGUGGAUGUCUUUAUCUUUUCCAAUAAAAUGAUUUCAUUUUAUCUUAUUACAUUAUUAGCUAGUGUAAUAGAGUAAGAAAAUUAUAGUGAGUAUCCCUGUCUUAUGUCUGAUUUUGAUGAAAGUGUCUUCACCAUUGUGCCAUUUAGUAUACCAUUUGCUGUUGCAUUUCACCAUACAUUGCUGUUGGGUUGUGGGUUUUUUUUUUUUGAUAUUUAAGUAGUUACUUUCCUUCUGAUUUUUUUUUCUUUUGGUAGCUUUUUAGUGGCUUACAGAAAAGUUACAAAAAUAGUACAUUUUUGCAUUUGUCUUAUUAUUCUCUCCUAAUGUCUUUCGCUCCCAGCAUCUUUUUUUUUUUUUUUUU